CCUACGGGAGGCAGCAGUGAGGAAUAUUGGUCAAUGGGCGCGAGCCUGAACCAGCCAAGUCGCGUGAGGGAUGAAGGUUCUAUGGAUCGUAAACCUCUUUUAUAAGGGAAUAAAGUGUGGGACGUGUCCUAUUUUGUCUGUACCUUAUGAAUAAGGCUCGGCCAACUCUGUGCCAGCAGCCGCGGUAAUACGGAGGAUCCGAGCGUUAUCCGGAUUUAUUGGGUUUAAAGGGUGCGUAGGCGGCCUUUUAAGUCAGCGGUGAAAGUCUGUGGCUCAACCAUAGAAUUGCCUUUGAAACUGGGGGGCUUGAGUAUGUGUGAGGCAGGCGGAAUGCGUGGUGUAGCGGUGAAAUGCUUAGAUAUCAGGCAGAACCCCGAUUGCGAAGGCAGCCUGCCAAGCCAUGACUGACGCUGAUGCACGAAAGCGUGGGGAUCAAACAGGAUUAGAUACCCUUGUAGUC
rnacentral:rRNA from 1 species